rnacentral:tRNA from 1 species
GGGGCUGCGACUCAGUGGUAGAGCAUCUGGUGGGCAAGCAGGAGGUCGUGGGUUCAAUUCCCAGCAGCACCU